rnacentral:rRNA from 1 species
UACAGAGGUGCCGAGCGUUAGGCGGAAUCACUGGGCUUAAAGCGUGUGUAGGCGGAUCGUUAAGUACCUUGUGAAAUCCCACGGCUUAACCGUGGAACUGCUGGGUAUACUGGCGAUCUUGAGGUGCUCAGGGGCGAGCGGAACAGAUGGUGGAGCGGUGAAAUGCGUAGAUAUCAUCUGGAACGCCUGCGGUGAAAACGGCUCGCUGGGAGCAAUCUGACGCUGAGACACGAAAGCCAGGGGAGCGAACGGG